GAUGAACGCUAGCUACAGGCUUAACACAUGCAAGUCGAGGGGUAACAAGAGGAAAGCUUGCUUUCCUUGUUGACGACCGGCGCACGGGUGAGUAACGCGUAUCCAACCUGCCUAUAACUAGGGAAUAACCUUGCGAAAGUAAGACUAAUACCCUAUGAUUUCCUUUGAUGACAUCAGAUUAGGAAUAAAGAUUUAUCGGUUAUAGAUGGGGAUGCGUCUGAUUAGCUUGUUGGCGGGGUAACGGCCCACCAAGGCAACGAUCAGUAGGGGUUCUGAGAGGAAGGUCCCCCACAUUGGAACUGAGACACGGUCCAAACUCCUACGGGAGGCAGCAGUGAGGAAUAUUGGUCAAUGGGCGGAAGCCUGAACCAGCCAAGUAGCGUGCAGGAUGACGGCCCUAUGGGUUGUAAACUGCUUUUAUACAGGAAUAAAGUUAGCCACGUGUGGUUAUUUGUAGGUACUGUAUGAAUAAGGACCGGCUAAUUCCGUGCCAGCCGCCGCGGUAA
rnacentral:rRNA from 1 species